rnacentral:sRNA from 1 species
UUAGAACCACCGCCGCUUAUCGCGGCGCC